UACGUAGGGUGCAAGCGUUGUCCGGAAUUAUUGGGCGUAAAGAGCUCGUAGGCGGUUUGUCGCGUCUGCUGUGAAAACGCGAGGCUCAACCUCGCGCCUGCAGUGGGUACGGGCAGACUAGAGUGCGGUAGGGGAGAUUGGAAUUCCUGGUGUGGCGGUGGAAUGCGCAGAUAUCAGGAGGAACACCGAUGGCGAAGGCAGAUCUCUGGGCCGUAACUGACGCUGAGGAGCGAAAGCAUGGGGAGCGAACAGG
rnacentral:rRNA from 1 species